rnacentral:rRNA from 1 species
CAGGAUGAACGCUAGCGACAGGCCUAACACAUGCAAGUCGAGGGGCAGCACAAGGAGCAAUCUGAGGUGGCGACCGGCGCACGGGUGAGUAACACGUAUGCAACCUGCCUGUAAGCGGGGAAUAACCCGUUGAAAGACGGACUAAUACCGCAUAAUACUAAAUUACUGCAUGGUAAUUUAUUUAAACAUUUAUGGCUUACAGAUGGGCAUGCGCAUGAUUAGCUAGUUGGAGAGGUAACGGCUCCCCAAGGCAACGAUCAUUAGGGGUUCUGAGAGGAAGGUCCCCCACACUGGUACUGAGACACGGACCAGACUCCUACGGGAGGCAGCAGUGAGGAAUAUUGGUCAAUGGACGAGAGUCUGAACCAGCCAAGUCGCGUGCAGGAAGAAUGUCCCUAUGGAUUGUAAACUGCUUUUGCAGGGGAAUAAAGUGCAUCACGUGUGAUGUUUUGUAUGUACUCUGCGAAUAAGGAUCGGCUAACUCCGUGCCAGCCGCCGC